ACUCAAAUGAAUUGACGGGGACCCGCACAAGCGGUGGAUGAUGUGGUUUAAUUCGAUGCAACGCGAAAAACCUUACCUACCCUUGACAUGCCUGGAAUUUUGCAGAGAUGUGAAAGUGCCCGAAAGGGAACCAGGACACAGGUGCUGCAUGGCCGUCGUCAGCUCGUGUCGUGAGAUGUUGGGUUAAGUCCCGCAACGAGCGCAACCCUUGUCAUUAGUUGCUACGAAAGGGCACUCUAAUGAGACUGCCGGUGAUAAACCGGAGGAAGGUGGGGAUGACGUCAGGUCAUCAUGGCCCUUAUGGGUAGGGCUACACACGUCAUACAAUGGCCGGUACAGAGGGCUGCCAACCCGCGAGGGGGAGCUAAUCCCAGAAAACCGGUCGUAGUCCGGAUCGCAGUCUGCAACUCGACUGCGUGAAGUCGGAAUCGCUAGUAAUCGCGGAUCAGCAUGUCGCGGUGAAUACGUUCCCGGGUCUUGCACACACCGCCCGU
rnacentral:rRNA from 1 species